rnacentral:rRNA from 1 species
GACGAACGCUGGCGGCGUGCUUAACACAUGCAAGUCGAACGGAAAGGCCCUGCUUUUGUGGGGUGCUCGAGUGGCGAACGGGUGAGUAACACGUGAGUAACCUGCCCUUGACUUUGGGAUAACUUCAGGCAACUGGGGCUAAUACCGGAUAGGAGCUCCUGCUGCAUGGUGGGGGUUGGAAAGUUUCGGCGGUUGGGGAUGGACUCGCGGCUUAUCAGCUUGUUGGUGGGGUAGUGGCUUACCAAGGCUUUGACGGGUAGCCGGCCUGAGAGGGUGACCGGCCACAAUGGGACGGAGAUACGGCCCAGACUCCUACGGGAGGCAGCAGUGGGGAAUAUUGCACAAUGGGCGGAAGCCUGAUGCAGCAACGCCGGGUGCGGGAUAACGGCCUUCGGGUUGUAAACCGCAUUCGCCUGUGACGAAGCGUGAGUGACGGUAAUGGGUAAAGAAGCACCGGCUAACUACGUG